GACGAACGCUGGCGGCGUGCCUAACACAUGCAAGUCGAACGGUCAAACGCCGUCCUUUCUGGUCGGUGUGGAGCGGCGGACGACUGGUUAGCAAGAGGUUAGUAUCCUGACCCCUUUGUCAGGAUAACCGGAAGACAGUGCUGCUACUAGGGAAUAUACUGGGUCUCUCGGUUGAAUGGUCUGGGACAGUUUUUCUUUCGCUUGUGGAUGGGUCCGCGCCCUAUUAGCUUGUUGGUGGGGUGAUGGCCUACCAAGGCGGUGAUGCGUAGCCGGCCUGAGAGGGUGGGCGGUCACGCAGGGACUGAGAGACGGCGCAGACUCCUACGGGAGGCAGCAGGGAGGAAUAUGGAACAGUGGGAGCAAGGCUGAUGCAGCGACGCCGCGUGAGGGAUGGAGGCCGGCGCGUUGUGAACCUCUUUCGCGAGUGAAGCAGGCCUGCCUCGUUUGUGCGUGGGUUGACGGUAGCUGGAUAAGAAGCGCCGGCUAACUACGUG
rnacentral:rRNA from 1 species